GGAGACACAUGGCAAAAUAGGAGAUACAGGACCCCAGACGAAUAGGUAAGACAUACCUAACGGAAAGACACAAAUCUGACAGGGCCAAAGACACAACCGAGCACUAACCCCUCAUUGAACCUACUGUCCACGAGCAUGCAGAUGAGAAGAGGAGACCACUAACCAGCCAACUUUAGACACCAUUACUCACACCAAAAGAAGCACCGUGACAUAACAACUGGACGGUAGAAACAGCCCGACCGCCACAGCAUAAAGACCACAAAUACGCUUGACAUCAGACAACAAUCUGGGGGACUGAAAACUGCUCAACAGGUAUUGCCC